CCGGCCUGGGGCCGCUUUGUGCCGCCCCUCGCCAUUGGCCGCGCCCGCGCGUGUCGCCGUAAGCGCGGCGGCCAUUGGCGGAGGCGCGGCAUGGCGGACGCGGGCGGCUCGUGGCGGCCGCCGCGGCCGUGCGAGGACUACUGGGGGGAGUGGAAGCACUGCCGCGGGCUGCGCCACGCCUUCCACCACUACUACGCGCACGGGGAGCUGCCGGCCUGCGGUCGCUGGCGGGAGGACUACGAGGCCUGCCGGGCCUGGGAGCGGCACCGCGCCGCCGCCGCGCAGGAAAAGCUGCGACGUUACGGGCAAAACGUGUUCCUGCGGUGCCCAGAAAUGCCUCUGGCUACAGCCCCACGGACGCUGGAGGACUCGGGCCCUGCAGCAAAGGCUACAGCGUAACACGGCCCUUCAGCCAGGCAGGACAGCCCUUGGCGGGGAGGGUUGCACUGAACUGGAAGCUUUGUGCAAGAGUGAAAGAGCCCGAGUUAUGGAAAGCCAGAAGUAUGCUCCGGUGUGGACACUCAGGAAGAGUCCUCCACCAGACUGGUAUCUACCCCUUGACCAGGAC